CCAUCACCCAGCUCAUCCGAAACACUAAAAUCCACGUGAACCUCAGAUGCAGGAGGUGGGGUGCGUUGCGUCCCUUGGCUGGUGGAGGGCCUGCCUGGUGAAUGACGUCUGUCGUGGGACCAGGACUCUGUCUGAGGAGAGCUGCUGGAGGAGCUGAGACGCUGGAGGACGACUAGGAAUCGACUAACAAGGAUUCCUUAACGCGUUUCUGGAGCGGAGGCGAGCUGGUAGGGGAGCCGUGAAUCUGGAGGAUGACCAUCACUCUACCAACAAGGAUUACUUUAGGGCCAGACUCGCGCUGUUUGUUCCAGACCAGGACUCUGGCUGAGGAGAGCUGAUGGAGGAGCCAAGACUCUGGAGGACGACCUCACUCCACCAACCAGGAUCCUCGAACCAUAAGGAAUCUGCUCCAUCUGGACAGCAACGACCAAGAACUGAGUCUAUCCUGCCUCACUCUUCCAGCGGUGGCCUCUUACUGCCUGACUCGCCUUCCAACCAGUGGUCACUUGAGUGCCUUGGAGAGAGGGCAGGACACCGACCAGGAACGACGCUCAGUGUUCCUGUAAGGGGCUAGGUGCUAGCACCUUACCGGGCUAGAGACUAGCCCCUGUACCGGGCUAGGGGCUAGCAACUUUACCGGUCUAGAUACUAGCCCCUGUACCAGGCUAGGUGCUAGCACCUGUACCGGGCUAGAGACCAGCCCCUGUACCAGGC
ensembl:lncRNA